GAGAAUAUGGAAGGAGAAAAGCUGCCUCCCUCUCUCUUGCUACUUCAAAUUAAACAUUGUCGUUUGCUGGAAGAACACUGCAAGAACAAGCGUCAACUAAUCUGGCCCAAAAUUUCCCACAUUCCCACCAUUGAAGUGAACUUCAAACAAAUUGUCUGAACAGAGAUUUCUGAGCAGAGUUACCUAUCAUGCUAGAAGAUUCAAGGUAAAAGGAAUCAGCAUGAGAGAUAGACUGUCCAA